rnacentral:rRNA from 1 species
CAGUCGCCGCGGUAAUACGAAGGGGGCUAGCGUUGUUCGGAAUUACUGGGCGUAAAGCGCACGUAGGCGGAUAUUUAAGUCAGGGGUGAAAUCCCAGAGCUCAACUCUGGAACUGCCUUUGAUACUGGGUAUCUUGAGUAUGGAAGAGGUGAGUGGAAUUCCGAGUGUAGAGGUGAAAUUCGUAGAUAUUCGGAGGAACACCAGUGGCGAAGGCGGCUCACUGGUCCAUUACUGACGCUGAGGUGCGAAAGCGUGGGGAGCAAACAGGAUUAGAGACCCCAGUAGUCCCUGUCUCUUAUAC